UCGGCGCUAGCGUCUAUAAAAGCACGGGACACGCCAUUCUCUUUCUCUUCAAAUCUUCCACAAGGAGAAACGAAGUCAGAAUAUCGGGUCAACCCGUGACAGGACCUGCCUAGCCUCUCCAACCAUGGACAUCUGUGUAGACUGCAGGUCUCGGGUAAUGAAGAUGGAAGGGCAAAACAUAAAAAUGACGUCACAUGCAGGUGACCCUCAUGGCUGACCCCACAGUGACUGGAUGAGGAAGUCUUAUGUGAAGGCAUCAAUCAGCUCAUGAGUGUCGCAUUUUUGGGCUGCAUGGGUUCAAUAGUUCCUGGUCUGUGAAGGUCCAGCAAAGUGUUGGAGCAGCAGCCCAAACAAGUGGCAUGUUGGAAUCAACGUCAGUCUGGCAGGGUUCCUACCGGCCCUUGAAAGUGCAAGAAUAAAAUUCAAGUUCUGAUGUAUGGAUGGAAGCCUUACUGUUUGAGCUCCUGCAAAGCCUGAUGGUUCUAAUUAUAAAAUUCUGUAACUAAUUAACCUUGCUCUGAAUGUUAAGGCAUGGGAAGCAUGGUCUGGGUUCAGUUACUGCAGGAACAUGCAAAUUACUAAUAAAUGAAUGUUUGUUACUGACUGUAAUAAAACAAGAAACAAUUA